AUUCGGCACCCGGGUCCUCUCCGAAAACAUUGCUAAGAGCUGUUCAUACCUGUUGCUUCGCAAAAUGAGGUAUAUAUACACAAGUAGAUUCGCCGAUCAAUUUUGAUGAACCAGACGAAACUUCUGUACAAAAUGAAACAGUUUCUCAAAAGGGAUUACACAAUUCAACUUUCCCGGGUGUUUUAACGCAAUUGCUGCAAGGUUCCGAAAAUCUAGCACUGUACCAAAGCUGGCAGAAUCCACAAACACCACCCCCGUCGGAGAUCAGCAUUCGGGGUCAUUCUCCAGCACCCUCUCAGAGCAGCCGGGGACAUUCUCCAGUGCAAUCGUCAGCGUCUUCUAAUUCUAGCCAGCAUUCAACCCCCAGGUGGGACACUUUACCAACAUCGCUUCACUCUGAGCGAAGAUCUCGGCAAAGAACUCGUUAUUCACCCCGAUAUUCCCAUGGGCCUGACCACGACCGGAGACAUCGCAAAAGGCUGGUGCAGUUGGCCGACGUUCUUCGCUGGGCACUGGAGCAAUUUAUAGAAUCAAAGUCUCUUGGUUACAAUUCCAUACCCGACAUGAGUUUACAUUUGCUGCAUCUGUAUACUUUUUCCAAGGUUCUACCCAGAAA